AGAGACCGGCGCACGGGUGCGUAACGCGUAUGCAAUCUACCUUUUACAGAGGGAUAGCCCAGAGAAAUUUGGAUUAAUACCUCAUAGUAUAGCUCUACCGCAUGGUAGUGCUAUUAAAGUCACAACGGUAAAAGAUGAGCAUGCGUCCCAUUAGCUAGUUGGUAAGGUAACGGCUUACCAAGGCAACGAUGGGUAGGGGUCCUGAGAGGGAGAUCCCCCACACUGGUACUGAGACACGGACCAGACUCCUACGGGAGGCAGCAGUGAGGAAUAUUGGACAAUGGGCGCAAGCCUGAUCCAGCCAUGCCGCGUGCAGGAUGACGGUCCUAUGGAUUGUAAACUGCUUUUGUACGAGAAGAAACACUGCUUCGUGAAGCAGCUUGACGGUAUCGUAAGAAUAAGGAUCGGCUAACUCCGUGCCAGCAGCCGCGGUAAUACGGAGGAUCCAAGCGUUAUCCGGAAUCAUUGGGUUUAAAGGGUCCGUAGGCGGUUUAGUAAGUCAGUGGUGAAAGCCCAUCGCUCAACGGUGGAACGGCCAUUGAUACUGCUGAACUUGAAUUAUUAGGAAGUAACUAGAAUAUGUAGUGUAGCGGUGAAAUGCUUAGAGAUUACAUGGAAUACCAAUUGCGAAGGCAGGUUACUACUAAUUGAUUGACGCUGAUGGACGAAAGCGUGGGGAGCGAACAGGAUUAGAUACCCUGGUAGUCCACGCCGUAAACGAUGGAUACUAGCUGUUGGGAGCAAUCUCAGUGGCUA
rnacentral:rRNA from 1 species